CCUACGGGAGGCAGCAGUGAGGAAUAUUGGUCAAUGGACGCAAGUCUGAACCAGCCAAGCCGCGUGCAGGAAGACGGCUCUAUGAGUUGUAAACUGCUUUUGUACGAGGGUAAACGCAGAUACGCGUAUCUGUCUGCAAGUAUCGUACGAAUAAGGAUCGGCUAACUCCGUGCCAGCAGCCGCGGUAAUACGGAGGAUUCAAGCGUUCUCCGGAUUUAUUGGGUUUAAAGGGUGCGUAGGCGGGCGGUUAAGUUAGAGGUGAAAUCCCGAGGCUCAACUGCGGAAUUGCCUCUGAUACUGGUCGGCUAGAGAGUAGUUGAGGUAGGCGGAAUGGAUGGUGUAGCGGUGAAAUGCUUAGAGAUCACACAGAACACCGAUUGCGAAGGCAGCUUACCAAGCUACUUCUGACGCUGAGGCACGAAAGCGUGGGUAGCAAACAGGAUUAGAUACCCUGGUAGUC
rnacentral:rRNA from 1 species